rnacentral:rRNA from 1 species
UAGGGAAUAUUGCAAAAUGGGCGAAAGCCCGAUGCAGCAACGCCGCGUGGGCGAUGAAGGCCUUCGGGUCGUAAAGCCCUUUUUGAGGGGAUGAGGAAGGACAGUACCCUCAGAAUAAGCCUCGGCUAACUACGUGCCAGCAGCCGCGGUAAAACGUAGGAGGCGAGCGUUAUCCGGAUUUACUGGGCGUAAAGCGCGUGCAGGCGGAUUGGAGAGUUGGAUGUGAAAGCUCCCGGCUUAACUGGGAGAGGUCGUUCAAUACUUCCAGUCUUGAGUGCAGUAGAGGGAAGUGGAAUUCCGGGUGUAGUGGUGAAAUGCGUAGAUAUCCGGAGGAACACCAGUGGCGAAAGCGGCCUCCUGGACUGUAACUGACGCUCAGACGCGAAAGCUAGGGUAGCAAACG